AUACGUAGGUGACAAGCGUUAUCCGGAUUUACUGGGCGUAAAGGGCGUGUAGGCGGUCUUGCAAGUCAGAAGUGAAAUUCCUGAGCUCAACUCGGGCGCUGCUUCUGAAACUGCAGGACUUGAGUGCUGGAGGGGAUAGCGGAAUUCCUAGUGGAGCGGUAAAAUGCGCAGAUAUUAGGAAGAACACCGGUGGCGAAGGCGGCUAUCUGUACAGUAACUGCCGCUGAGGCGCGAAAGCGUGGGGAGCAAACAGGAUUAGAUACCCUGGGAGUCCACGCCGUCAACGAUGAAUACUAGGUGUCAGGGGGCAAGGCCCUUUGGUGCCGGCGCUAACGCAUUAAGUAUUCCACCUGGGGAGUACGUACGCAAGUAUGAAACUUAAAGGAAUUGACGGGG
rnacentral:rRNA from 1 species